AUGGGGGUGCUGCUCGGGGCCAGGCCUGGCUCCCGGUGCUCCGCCGUCGAUGGCGAGGGGACUGUGGAGCUGGCCCAUCUGCCGCCGGCCAUCGUUCCCUACACCAUGAAGCGCUUGCCUUGUUGCUCUGUUCUCAAGGAUGUGGGCAAACAUCCGCCCGAUCUGGUGAUGUCGGUAGUGCCACCGCCGCCCCUCUGGAGCUCCGCUGGCGAGGAGGAGGAGGAGGACGACAGAGAGGAGGAGCUUGCUCCACGGUCGCCGCCGGCUGCCUCCCAGUAUUCCUUGUGCUCUGUUGACGCCAAUGUUGCUCAUGCGGGGCCGUGGGCAUCUCUGGUUGAUGUAGAUGGCCAGGGUUCAGGCGAGGAAUGUGACAACAACGAUUCUGGCAAAGGGGACCUGGCGCCACCGAAGACGGCAACGUCUGUUGUCGAAGGCUCAUGCUCUGGUGCGGUUGGUGCGUCGACUGCUUGCUUGUAUCCUUGCGAUCAGGCGGAAGCUGUGGUCACACAACCCGGGGAUGGUCCCUGGAUUUACGUCGGACGAAGGCGUCGUCCCCGUUGUCACGUGCCUUGCAGCAAGUCUUCCACGUCCCCGACCUUUCAUGAUGCAAGGUCUGUGCAAGCCGACACAUUCAAGAGGAGAACCCGUGGUCGAUGUUUCCGUUGCUUGGCUCCGGACCACAAGGUUGCGUCCUGCCGCGACCCGUUUUGA
rnacentral:rRNA from 1 species